rnacentral:lncRNA from 1 species
GGGGAUUUUCUAGUUUUCGGACAUUAACACAAAAACAUUUUCAGCAUUUCUCAUGAAACUUUGCUGAAUUGUUUAUAUCUAUUGUUGUAAGCGCCUUUUCUAUUUUUUUCCCGAUUUAAUGUUAUUCAGUUCAGGGGUUUAUCCAUUAAAAAAGAUGGUAUUUUCCAGUUUUCGGACAAUAACUCAAAAAUGUUCUCUGCAGUUCUCAUGAAACUUUGAUGUAUUGUUUAUAUACAUGAUAUAAUUUUUAUAUUGACUGAUUUUUAUAAAUAUCUGAUAUGACAUUGAGAAGUUAUCGAAUAUUUCAAAAAGGUGACGGGCGUAUCAUGCACUCAUGGCGUAGCU